UACCCGUCUUGAAACACGGACCAAGGAGUCUAACAUGCGCGCGAGUCGUUGGGUCGGACACGCUCCGCUAAACCCAUAGGCGCAAUGAAAGUGAAGGUCGCCCUCCGCGGGACCGAGGGAGGACGGAGUCGGAGUCGACUCCCGCACUCCCGGGGCGUCUGAUUCCUCAUCGCGAGGGAAGGCGCAACCAGAGCGCACACGUUGGGACCCGAAAGAUGGUGAACUAUAA
rnacentral:rRNA from 1 species